AACGCACAUUGCACCCUCUGGUCACUCCGGAGGGUAUGCCUGUUUGAGUGUCAUUUUCAACUAUCAAUGUUGCUUAUUUUUGUAAAUGAGUAUAACAUUGGACUUUGAAGGCUUUGCUGAAGUGUUUAAACUCAGCUCCUUUGAAAUUUAUUAGUGGCUUCAAUGUCUAACCACCAUCAGUAUAAUUUUUGAAGGUGGAAUGUCAAAUUUGUUAGCUGCUUCCUAAUAGUCUUGUCAAAGACAAACUACAAAGGAUUUUGACCUCAAAUCAGGUAAGACUACCCGCUGAACUUAA
rnacentral:misc_RNA from 1 species